UAGGGAAUCUUCGGCAAUGGACGAAAGUCUGACCGAGCAACGCCGCGUGAGUGAAGAAGGUUUUCGGAUCGUAAAACUCUGUUGUUAGAGAAGAACAAGGACGUUAGUAACUGAACGUCCCCUGACGGUAUCUAACCAGAAAGCCACGGCUAACUACGUGCCAGCAGCCGCGGUAAUACGUAGGUGGCAAGCGUUGUCCGGAUUUAUUGGGCGUAAAGCGAGCGCAGGCGGUUUCUUAAGUCUGAUGUGAAAGCCCCCGGCUCAACCGGGGAGGGUCAUUGGAAACUGGGAACCUUGAGUGCAGAAGAGGAGAGUGGAAUUCCAUGUGUAGCGGUGAAAUGCGUAGAUAUAUGGAGGAACACCAGUGGCGAAGGCGGCUCUCUGGUCUGUAACUGACGCUGAGGCUCGAAAGCGUGGGGAGCAAACAGG
rnacentral:rRNA from 1 species